rnacentral:misc_RNA from 1 species
CCCCAUCUCAUGGCCACCAUUCUCUCUCCAUCAGCUCGCCUCUCCUCCUCCACCAACACCCAAAAGCCACCGCAAAUUCCGCCACCACCCAAAACCCAGCUCCCUAUGCCACCCCACAAACCCCUCUUAAACACAACACUAACUGCCGCUACAAUACUAACCACCACUGCUCCUUCCCUUGCAGACUCAGCACAAACCUACCACAUCUACUACGGCACCGCAGCCAGCGCGGCCAACUACGGUGGAUACGGCGGUAACUCCGAC